UCUCAAGUGAAGGUAAUAUUUUAAUACCAACAGUAAAUUUUAGUGUUUUAUGUUAUUCCCAUAUGUGUUAGGUAUUUUUCCUUUUCCGUGCUAAGGGCUAAAAUACCCUUAUUUUCCUGUGAGCUUGCCUCUAACUGGUAAUCUUCUUCUCCCCCGUGCUGCACACCUGUGAGUGCAGUAUUUGGAUCUUCUUUUAUCAGACCAUUUGUUAGAGAGCAGUAUUGUAGCCCCUCAUAUCCUGAAUAAGCAGUUUGAUACAAGUUUCGAGCGAUCGUUUCCAAAGUACCAGUUCAAGGUAUGUUCUCCAUGCUGAUAACCAGUGCAUAGGAGUUGGGACGGACUUGAAGAAGAUGUUUCGCAAGAUCUAUUGAGAUCAACCUUGCACAACAACCCAUUCCUUCCAAAUUGUAGCUUUGAAUAUUCCCUCAAAGCUUGUAAUGGUUGAUAACCAUGGUAGACAACGAUGGUGCCGGAUUAAACAAACUGCAGUUAACAAUCAAAAUUCCAAUGUCUUUGGGUUUUACGGAGGUCUUAGCCAAAAACUCGUCAAUAGCACCAAACAUGACAUCCUUGGUUUAUUUUCUUGCUUGAUGCAUUGACAGGUUAGGGGGAAUGUUGAGUACCGCCUCUGGAAGAUAUGUUGAAUCCCCAAGCCCUGACCUUUCAAGGAUCCUAUGCUGAAACUGAAGAUUAUCAUCGGUGAAUGUACUAGUCAUUUGUGAUUGAUCCACGGACAUCAUUUUCGAGCAUUUACGAGAUUCCUCCGGUUUGUAACAAGCGAAGUUGGUAAGGUAAACAGGGCGAGGGCGAGUCAGAAAGUAGAGGGUGGACAAGAAAACAAGAAUCGUCCAGCAAAUGAUGACAGAAAUUAGGUUGUAUUGAAGAUGCUUUCAAAGAUCAUAAAGAUCAUGGACAGAAAAUGUCAAGAGCUGUGCCGCGAUUACAACUAUAAUUAGGAGAUUUGACAUUGUUGAAACAUGAAAUUGUAACUAUACUAUUGGAGGUCGAGUUGUGAGAGUUAAUGAAGUGACCACCAGAGGGGGUAGAUCAAAUUUUAGUCAGGACCGCCCUAGGGGUGAGUGGGAUAGGCCAAUGGGACAGGACAAAGAAAGAGAUCAUGGUAGAGAACAGUAUUGUGAUUGAUAUAGUGAUAGGUCUAGAGAGCGUGAUCGGUCUCAGGACAAUGAUUCUGGAAGAGAAAGAGGAUAUGAGGAUCAUGAACAUGAUAGAGUUGGAGAAUACUUAUUGGAUAGCGAUCACAACAGAGAAGUGGAGGAUCAUGUUCAAGGGCGCAUGUUUAGGAUUGGGAUAAAGAUCAUAAGCUGAAUUUGGAUCAAGAUAGGGAGUCUGCUGGAACCAACGGUUAUAAAAGUGUUGACAAGGACAAGGAGCAACGACUAAAGAGAUAGAAUGGCUACACGAGCAAUGAUCAUGGUAGAGGACUUUCAUCUGAUUCUGUUGAUGAUUACAAUCAGGCAACCUCAACUUUAUUUUGAUGCAUAUUUGUGUAGUCUCCUUUUCUUUUUACUAGUUAUGUUUUGUUUUCAUAUUGAAAAAGAAAUGGAAAGAUAGAUUCAAGGCCAAGAAGAACUUAAAACAGAGGUCUGCUACAUUGUUGGAAUUUUGAAUUGAUUUUUCUACGAAAUCUGGUGUAGGAAGAUGGAUAUGAUAGCAUUUAGGAGUAGGCUAAUGCAUUUGUUAUGUGUGCAUAUGCAUUCUUGUGCUUGUAUUACCAUGGUAAUCACUAGAGCGGGAAUAUCAUUAUCCAAUGUGUUUUAACAGAAUCCAACCAGCCUUCUUUCGUUAGGGGCAAUUUUAUCCUCCUUUCCUCCAAUACUCAAAGAAAGACGUGCAUGUUUGUGUGUAUGUUUUGGUUUUUCAUUUCCACAAUUGUGUAGUGGUAGGAAAAGGCGAGUGAUAUUUUCGUGACUCAUCAGAUUUCGCUGAUGGAAGUAAGGUUAGAAGAGAGACAACAAGUUGUUUUGGAAUUGCGGAAAAAAUCUAAGGUAUCUUAAUGAUAGUACCUGUUGUUUAAUUUUAUUUGACCUGAUACAUUGUCUCAAAGAGGUUUAUAGCAAGUAAAGGAGU